CCUCAACAAGCCUCCGAGGGACAGGCUCUGCCCUAUUGCCUUGGCGACACCAGUCUUGAAAAUAUGACAUUGGACACGAAGUAUGAAUCACAUCCUGCUUCAGUGAGCCUUUGACAAGACGUUGCAGAAAACAGCUUUACAAUGUGGGGGCCUGUGUGCAAUUUACUGUCAGUCAGUGUUGGAGACCAGGGGCAUGGGGCCUCCAGAAGCACCUUCCACCUUCCACACAGCGCGAAAAGAAGACACACUGAUGAUGGGAAAUAUGGCCCGAGGCAGAUGGCGAGAAAGCUGCGCUGGCGGCCAGAAGGGAUCGGAGCCAGCUGGAGCCACGAGUCAGGGCAGACUCUCAAAGCUCAGUUUCCUUGGGUUAGCUCUCCAUCUAGCCCUGAGGUCGACACCCUAAACUUCUGGGACCCCAGGAAUGUGGGAUUCAGAGAGGCCAGUUCGGCUGGAGACAGUUCCACACCAAGGAUGCUUUUCCCAAGGACACAGUCCCUAUCUUCUAGGUGCCUGGACUCCACACGUGCCAAGUGCUCCUGAAAUGAAGUUCUAGAACCCACAGCCACUGGACAGGUCUCUAGUGGAAAAGCAAUGCCUGUGAGUUUGCUUGGGCUGGCCUUGAACUCACUAUAUAGUUAAGUAUGAUCAUGAACCUCUCAUCCUCCUGCCUCAGGCUCCUUAGUGUUGGGAUAACUGGUGUGUUUCCUAAAAGCAAGACUAUUUCUUUACAGACUCCAGCAUAUGUUCAGAGCAUGAAACUUGACCCUGAUUGCAUCCUGUUACUUGACUUGUAGACCUCACUCUGUUUGUGCCUGCCCAUCAGUGCCUUCUUAGUAAAGGAAAACCCUAGUGCCAUGGCUGCCUCUCUCAGGCCCCUCUGAGAGGAGGCUGCUCCUGAGUCUUUGUAUUUUGUCUUUCAAGAAACACAUGUCGGAUGCUUCGUAAAAUGUCAAAGAUCCCAUUGAAAAUAAAUUUAUUUUUAUUUUAU
rnacentral:lncRNA from 1 species